AUGGACCAGGGACGCUGUGAGCUUCCCGCCAUGACUGCCACGCUGGGGCAGGCCCUGGGCUCCCUCCUGCCCACCCUUCUGCUGGGACUCGCAGCUGGCCAGCCGUUCAUCACGCUGACGGGCCCGGCGGAGAGGGCAGCCCCUGGAAACUCGGUGCCUUUCAACUGCACCGCCGGCCCCUUCAGCUCCCAGGACAUCAGUGUCACCUGGAUGAAGGACUGGGAUGAGCAUCCAGCCUCCGCUCAGCGCCUGGUGACUGAUGACAAAGGGAAUUACUCCAUCACCAGUAAGGUGUGGCUGACGCUGGUGCGCCAAGAUGUCUCGUCAGAGAUCACCUGCGAAGUCACCCACGGGGACCUGGCAGCGCCCCUGCACAGGACCAUGAACCUCUCCCAAGUGCUCCGAGUCGUUCCCACCAUGAAGAUCACCGCCCAGCCCUCCGAGGCGAGCACCCCCCAUCAUCAGAGGGUGAAUCUCACUUGCCACGCCAGCCACUUCUAUCCCUCCCACCUGCACCUCACCUGGAUGGAGAACAGGCACACCGUCCACACCGAGCCGGCCCCCCAGGUCACCAGAAACGCGGACGGGACCUACUCGCUGGAGCACACGUGGCAGGCAGCGGCCACGCCCAACGGGAGCGAGUUUGCCUGCUGGGUGGUCCAGGACGAGCAGCCCCCGGUCCAGGCCAACAUCACCCUGCGGGCUCAGGCGUCCCGGCUGCGGAAAGGCGGGAGCAGCUACUCUUACACCUUGCAAGGCCCCCCUCAGCGAUCGGAGCCGGGCACAAGCAUCCUACUGAAGUACACGUCCUCCGGAUUCCACACGCAGCACGUCACGGUGGCCUGGCUUAAAAACAACCACACGCUGCCGAACCCCCAGACCAGCGUCCACCCCAGCAGAGACACCUACAACGUGAGCAGCAGCGUGCGCGUCCCCCUGCAGGCUGAGGAUGUGCGCUCCCAAGUCUUCUGCCUCGUCAUGCACAAGUCGAAAUUGGCUUUCCAGAAAACCAUCAACCUGGACCAGUACCUCCGUGUUUCCCCUGCAGUGACAAUGUCUCAGGCUUCAAUGUCCUCAGACUUGGUAGCAAUUACUUGCCACGUGCAGAGAUUCUAUCCACAAAGUGUGCAACUCACCUGGCUGGAGAACUGCGAUACAUUCAAGGGAGCUGAGCCAUCCACACCCAAGAAGAAUGUUGAUGGGACCUACACCCUGGAAAGCUUGCAAUGGGUGAAUGCAUCAGGGCACGGGUCUGAGAGGGUAUUCACCUGUAAGGUACAGCAUGAGGCACAGCCUCCCGUCUGGGCCAACCUCAUACUGUCCCCAGCAGCCCGCGGGACAUACAAGCCCAUUGAAAACCCAGGUCCAGAGACACCUGCCCUUAUCUUUGUGGCUUUCCUCCUGGGCCUCAAGCUGCUGCUGGUGACGAGUUUCACAGUCACCUACAUCCACAGGUGUUGGAACCUGUAA